AUCCAGAUGAUGAGUCCCAAAUAGGGCGAGGUGCGCAUCCUGGAU
rfam:Trichobilharzia regenti genome assembly, scaffold: TRE_scaffold0043236